AACGAACGCUGGCGGCAUGCCUAACACAUGCAAGUCGAACGAUGCCUUCGGGCAUAGUGGCGCACGGGUGCGUAACGCGUGGGAAUCUGCCUUUCGGUUCGGAAUAACUCAGGGAAACUUGAGCUAAUACCGGAUAACGUCGCAAGACCAAAGAUUUAUCACCGAAAGAUGAGCCCGCGUAGGAUUAGCUAGUUGGUGAGGAAAAGGCUCACCAAGGCGACGAUCCUUAGCUGGUCUGAGAGGAUGAUCAGCCACACUGGGACUGAGACACGGCCCAGACUCCUACGGGAGGCAGCAGUGGGGAAUAUUGGACAAUGGGCGAAAGCCUGAUCCAGCAAUGCCGCGUGAGUGAUGAAGGCCUUAGGGUUGUAAAGCUCUUUUACCCGGGAAGAUAAUGACGGUACCGGGAGAAUAAGCCCCGGCUAACUCCGUG
rnacentral:rRNA from 1 species